rnacentral:lncRNA from 1 species
UUCACUCCAUUCACUUCCAUGAUACCUUCAUACUCUACCUUCUUUCAAUUCAUGUGAUAUACCUAUUCUUUAAGCCAAAUACACUGUACCUUUGUGCUCCAUCUUGUACCCUUUUUUGCGAACCAAGAGCCGAUUUGUUUGUCUUGUCAGGCCCUGUAGCUUAGACAAACAUCUUCUUACUUACUUUGUAGUCGUACUUAG